rnacentral:rRNA from 1 species
AUUGAACGCUAGCGGGAUGCCUUACACAUGCAAGUCGCACGGAGUGGCGAACGGGUGAGUAAUGUAUCGGAACGUGCCCAGUAGCGGGGGAUAACUACGCGCAAGCGUAGCUAAUACCGCAUACUAUUGGAGCGGCCGAUAUCGGAUUAGCUAGUUGGUGGGGUAACGGCCAACCAAGGCGACGAUCCGUAGCUGGUUUGAGAGGACGACCAGCCCCCCUGGGACUGAGACAGGCCCCAGACUCCUCCUCGAAUCACCAUUACAAAAUUUUCUACAAUGUUGGAAACCCUGAUCCAGCCAUCCCGCGUGUGCGAUGAAUUCCUUCGGGUUUUAACGCACUUUUGGCAGGAAAGCGGUACCUGCAGAAUAAGCACCGGCUAACUACGUGCCAGCAGCCGCGGUAAUUC